AGGGAACGUGCAAUUGAGAACCUAGCCUCGUGAUAGCGGUAAAAGGUGGGGGGAGUCAUACCGAAACAUCCGGGCUUCCUUUUAUGUCUAAGUUUUAUUUUGAUCAUAUUCAUAUAUUGAUAUUGUGCAUUAUAGGAUUACUAGAUGAUUACAUUCCAUUUCCUUGCAUGUUUCCUAUGGUAGUGUAGCAUUAUGGGCUUGACACUUGAACUUAGGUUGCAUGAGGAUUGGGUCAUGUGACAAGAAUCCUAUAGUGACAAGAAUGAUGAUGAACUUGGACUUGUGAUGAUGAAAACAAGCGACAUUGAAUUAGUAUAGUAGAGAUACUAUAAUGUGAACAAGUGGCAUGUCAAUUUAGUGUAUUGAGGUACAUAUAACAUCAUGACAUAAAUGAGUGGCAUCAAAUCUAGUGUAGUGAAACACUAUGGCAUUUGAACCUUGGGAUAGUAGAUUUUUCCUAUUGUCAUGUUGUAGACAUUAUGCAUUUGGCAUAUCUAGUCUCACAUCCUCCGAGGUGGGCCUUUGAACAGUUCCAAUAAGUGAAAGGCCACUCCGAGGUGGGAAAGUGCAUUGAAAUCCCCGAUUGCUCGAUAAACCGAGUUGGAGUAUCGAUUGGGUUGAAGUGAGCUAGUUUCGAGGACGAAACUCUUUUAAGGAGGGGAGAAUGUAAGGUACCGAACUUCUAAAAAUAUGAAGUUACAGUGUACAUUUAAAUGGUUCCGGUAAGGUUGCGGUGUAAUGUAAUAUACCGGAUUUAAAUAUAAAAAUAGAAAUAAAUAAAAAUAGUAUGAGAUACUAUUUUUAUUGGAUUUAGAGAAGUGAAAUAUAAGUUGGGAAUGACCUGUGCUGAAAUCGGAAUUAAAACAGAAGAUUUAGAAUUUUCUGUUGGAAACGGGGCAGAUAAAUUAGGAGAAAAUGCACAGUCUCAGAAAAUUAUGAAAAUUGGCAGAGAUGUCAGAAAUAUUUUUAUGAGGCUAGAUUUAAGGUUUCAUAUUUUUCUGACACCCGUAGAGCGAGAAAUAAAAUCUGAUAGCUAUCUGAUAAAGAUUGCAGUUCGGUACAGUUUUCAGUGACCAAACGAGGUCGAAACUGAAAUAUUAAAAUUUCUUUGGACAUACGAAGUGAAACCGAACUUGCCUGCCAAAUUUGAGCUCAAACGGACAUCCGGAAGAGCUCCAACGAAAUUUAUCAGAUUU
rnacentral:lncRNA from 1 species